AAUCAGGAUCCCUGUUUAACUUUUUCGCAACCAACCGUUUUGACAAAAAUUUUUUCGCAACAAACUAUAUAUCUAUAGAAAGAUUCCCUGCUGGAUGCCUGUUAAAAAGAAAAACUGAAGAAACUUUAAAACUAGACGAUGGCAACUGAAGAAGUUGAAACACCGUUAUUCAUGGUGUCAUAUCGCGGCUUUAGUUCUCCAUGUAAAAGAGGAUGAAAGCACUAAAGAAGCGUAACGAUAAACUUUAAAGCAGAAUUUUGUCAUGCGAUUAAGAUGGUGAUAUGAAAGAACUAAUGUGGCAGUAUAUUACUAUCGUAGAACAGUUUUGCA